rnacentral:rRNA from 1 species
UACGGGGGGGGCAAGCGUUGUUCGGAAUUACUGGGCGUAAAGGGCUCGUAGGUGGCCAACUAAGUCAGACGUGAAAUCCCUCGGCUUAACCGGGGAACUGCGUCUGAUACUGGAUGGCUUGAGUUUGGGAGAGGGACGCGGAAUUCCAGGUGUAGCGGUGAAAUGCGUAGAUAUCAGGAGGAACACCGGUGGCGAAGGCGGGUCUCUGGGCAACAACUGACGCUGAGGAGCGAAAGCGUGGGGAGCGAACAGG